ACAAAAUGUAGCUUAGAAAAGCCCUCCGCUUACACCGGAAAGACAUCCGUUAAACCAGAUCAUUUUGA
rnacentral:tRNA from 1 species